rnacentral:rRNA from 1 species
ACGUAGGGGGCGAGCGUUGUCCGGAUUUAUUGGGCGUAAAGGGCGUGUAGGCGGUCAGCUAAGUCAGAGGUGAAAAUCGAGGGCUCAACCCUGGAACUGCCUCUGAAACUGGUGGACUUGAGUGCUCUAGAGGGCAGUGGAAUUCCCGGUGUAGCGGUGAAAUGCGUAGAGAUCUGGAGGAACACCCGCGGCGAAGGCGGCGCCCUGGUCCGUUACUGACGCUGAGACGCGAAAGCGCGGGGAGCGAACGGGA